rnacentral:rRNA from 1 species
GACGAACGCUGGCGGCGUGCUUAACACAUGCAAGUCGAACGAAGAGCGAUGGAAGCUUGCUUCUAUCAAUCUUAGUGGCGAACGGGUGAGUAACGCGUAAUCAACCUGCCCUUCAGAGGGGGACAACAGUUGGAAACGACUGCUAAUACCGCAUACGAUCUAAUCUCGGCAUCGAGGAUGGAUGAAAGGUGGCCUCUAUUUAUAAGCUAUCACUGAAGGAGGGGAUUGCGUCUGAUUAGCUAGUUGGAGGGGUAACGGCCCACCAAGGCGAUGAUCAGUAGCCGGUCUGAGAGGAUGAACGGCCACAUUGGGACUGAGACACGGCCCAGACUCCUACGGGAGGCAGCAGUGGGGAAUCUUCCGCAAUGGACGAAAGUCUGACGGAGCAACGCCGCGUGAGUGAUGACGGCCUUCGGGUUGUAAAGCUCUGUUAAUCGGGACGAAAGGCCUUCUUGCGAAUAGUGAGAAGGAU